rnacentral:rRNA from 1 species
AUACCGAGGCGAUCGGGCGAACUAUGGUUAAGGAACUCGGCAAAUUACCCCCGUAACUUCGGGAGAAGGGGGGCCACAGACUGUCAAACUCCAUGCGGGUGGCAGCGGUAGGUGGCCGCAGAGACCAGGGGGAAGCGACUGUUUACUAAAAACACAGGUCCGUGCGAAGUCGUAAGACGAUGUAUACGGACUGACGCCUGCCCGGUGCUGGAACGUUAAGGGGACCGGUUAGUCCGCAAGGGCGAGGCUGAGAACUUAAGCGCCAGUAAACGGCGGUGGUAACUAUAACCAUCCUAAGGUAGCGAAAUUCCUUGUCGGGUAAGUUCCGACCUGCACGAAUGGCGUAACGACUUCCCUACUGUCUCAACCAUAGGCCCGGCGAAAUUGCACUACGAGUAAAGAUGCUCGUUACGCGCGGAAGGACGGAAAGACCCCGGGACCUUCACUAUAGCUUGACAUUGGUACUCGAAUUGAAUUGUGUAGGAUAGGUGGGAGACUUUGAAGCUCGGACGCAGUUCGGGUGGAGUCAAACUUGAAAUACCACUCUGUUGAAUUUGGGUAUCUAACUUCGGACCGUGAUCCGGUUCAGGGACAGUGUCUGGUGGGUAGUUUAACUGGGGCGGUUGCCUCCUAAAAUGUAACGGAGGCGCCCAAAGGUUCCCUCAGCCUGGUUGGCAAUCAGGUGUUGAGUGCAAGUGCACAAGGGAGCUUGACUGUGAGACUGACAGGUCGAGCAGGGACGAAAGUCGGGACUAGUGAUCCGGCACCUGCGAGUGGAAGCGGUGUCGCUCAACGGAUAAAAGGUACCCCGGGGAUAACAGGCUGAUCUUCCCCAAGAGUCCAUAUCGACGGGAUGGUUUGGCACCUCGAUGUCGGCUCGUCGCAUCCUGGGGCUGGAGUAGGUCCCAAGGGUUGGGCUGUUCGCCCAUUAAAGCGGCACGCGAGCUGGGUUUAGAACGUCGUGAGACAGUUCGGUCCCUAUCCUCCGCGCGCGCAGGAGACUUGAGAAGGGCCGUCCCUAGUACGAGAGGACCGGGACGGACGAACCUCUGGUGUGCCAGUUGUCAUGCCAAUGGCACGGCUGGUUAGCUACGUUCGGAAGGGAUAACCGCUGAAAGCAUCUAAGCGGGAAGCCUGCUUCAAGAUGAGGUCUCCCACCCCUUGAGGGUUAAGGCCCCCAGCUAGACCACUGGGUUGAUAGGCCAGAAGUGUAAGCCUGGUAACAGGUUCAGCCGACUGGUACUAAUAGGCCGAGGACUUAACUA